rnacentral:rRNA from 1 species
UUGACCUCGGAUCAGGUAGGGAUACCCGCUGAACUUAAGCAUAUCAAUAAGCGGAGGAAAAGAAACCAACAGGGAUUGCCCCAGUAACGGCGAGUGAAGCGGCAAGAGCUCAAAUUUGAAAGCUGGCUCCUUCGGGGUCCGCAUUGUAAUUUGCAGAGGAUGCUUCGGGAGCGGUCCCCAUCUAAGUGCCCUGGAACGGGCUGUCAUAGAGGGUGAGAAUCCCGUAUGGGAUGGGGUGUCCGCGCCCGUGUGAAGCUCCUUCGACGAGUCGAGUUGUUUGGGAAUGCAGCUCUAAAUGGGUGGUAAAUUUCAUCUAAAGCUAAAUAUUGGCCGGAGACCGAUAGCGCACAAGUAGAGUGAUCGAAAGAUGAAAAGCACUUUGAAAAGAGAGUUAAAAAGCACGUGAAAUUGUUGAAAGGGAAGCGUUUGCGACCAGACUCGCCUACGGGGUUCAGCCAGCCUUCGGGCUGGUGUACUUCCCCGUGGGCGGGCCAGCGUCGGUUUGGGCGGCCGGUCAAAGGCCCUCGGAAUGUAACGCCUCUCGGGGCGUCUUAUAGCCGAGGGUGCCAUGCGGCCUGCCCGGACCGAGGAACGCGCUUCGGCUCGGACGCUGGCUUAAUGGUCGUCAACGACC